rnacentral:rRNA from 1 species
CAAUAGCGUAUAUUAAAGUUGUUGCAGUUAAAAAGCUCGUAGUUGAAUUUCUGUACAUUCCCGGCGCCGGCUUCUGUCGAGUCGUGUUGAGUGUGCAUCCGCUUACAAACUUAGACCGGCAUUCACUUGUCGACUAAGGGAGUAGGCCCUUUACUUUGAAAAAAUUAGAGUGUUUCAAGCAGGCAAUGGUUUGAAUACAUUAGCAUGGAAUAAUGGAAUAGGACUUGUGUCCAUUUGGUUGGUUAUUGGAUAUCGAGUAAUGAUUAACAGGGACAGUUGGGGGCAUUAGUACUUAACAGUCAGAAGUGAAAUUCUAUGAUUUGUUAAAGACUAACUUAUGCGAAANCANNNGCCAAGGAUGUUUUCAUNAA